AUAAUAUAUUUGAUAAGGCAUCUUAUAAUAUUAAAGCUUCGGCACUUGAUGAUGGGUGUGCGGCUGAUUAGAUAGUUGGCGGGGUAACGGCCCACCAAGUCUACGAUCAGUAGCUGAUGUGAGAGCAUGAUCAGCCACACGGGCACUGAGACACGGCCCGACUCCUACGGGAGGCAGCAGUAAGGAUAUUGGACAAUGGACGAAAGUCUGAUCCAGCCAUGCCGCGUGAAGGAUUAAGGUCCUCUGGAUUGUAAACUUCUUUUAUAUGGGACGAAAAAAGGGCAUUCUUGUUCACUUGACGGUACCAUAUGAAUAAGCACCGGCUAACUCCGUG
rnacentral:rRNA from 1 species